UCUAUAUUGAUGUAUUAUGUGUACUAUAAUACUCUUAUUCUAAAUAUUUCAUUUUGUACUGUUAGGAUCUGCAGUUAGAAUAUGGACAAGGACAUCAAGGAAGUUACUUUUUAGGAGGAAACAAGAGUCUUCUGAAGUCUGUUGAAGAAGAAUUACAUCAGCGAGGACAUGUGGCACAUUUAGAAGAUGAUGAAGGGGAUGAUGAUGAAUCUAAACAUUCAACCAUGAAAGCAAAAGUUCCACCACCUUUGCC